UGCUCCAGCCUGGGUGACAGAGUGAGACCCUGACUUGAAAAAAAAAAAAAAAGCCACUGCCCACUUGUGCCUGACCUAUGACCUCAAGCACCAGCCACAAGGCACUCCUUACAGGAGUACCCACAGGAGAUUUCUCACUUCUCUGCCUUAGGCGAUCCCACUUGAGAGGAGGCCCAAGCUUCUGUCUCCCCAGAGGUGAACAUCUGCUGGAUAUUAAGGAAUCUCCUUGAGGAUGGGUGCGCUGGGUGAGCACCAGGCUGAGCGGAGAAGAUCCUUCAUUCAAGGCUACGCUUUCUGAUGGCUAUUACAUUUGAACUCCAAGAGUUUAGGCACAAGUCACAGAAGGAGUGGGAAGAGUCACCUCACCUGGCUGCAAAUCAAUCAUCACACUUGACCCAGCUGCUGUUCUCUCCUUGGCCUCAGGUAGGUGCUGGUUCCCACCUGGCUGCACAUUCCACAGGGCUAUGAGGCAGUGGGUGCACUAGGACCAAGGGCACGUGUAUUGGACUCACGCAUUCUCAGCCUUUUAAGAACCAGAUUCACCAAGUCCUACAACCUCUGUGCUCUGGGGGCUGGGUAGGAAAGGGCUGGAGUAUGGUCAGCCCUACUUACAUACUCCUUCCAGCAGGACCUCACAACAUCCCUUGGCUGCGGUGAUGAUGCCAACAGCGGCCACAAUAGCAAACACUUGAGCUCAUAUGCUGUGCUGGGAACUGGGCUUGAAUGUUCUCCGGUGCUGUCUAAUAGAACUUUCCAUGAUCAUGACAGAGUCUGUAGCUGGGCAGAUGAAUACAAUAGCCACUAGCUACCCUGAGGUAUUACAUCCUUAAAAUGUGGCUAGUGAGACUGAGAAACUAAAUUUUAAUCAAUUAAUUUAAGUAGUCCCAUUACUUAUGAGUCCAGUGGCUCUUGUCAUAGGCAGCAAUUGCUCUAUAUACAUUAUCAUCACUGGGUCCCCAUUACAAUCCUAUGAAGUAUUAGUAUCCUCAUUUUGUGCACAAAGAAACAGAGGCUUAAAGGGGCCAAGUCAUUUGUAUGGGAGACUCAGCUGGACUUUACCUCUGUCUACCUGACCUCCAGUCCAUGCCUUUAACUGCGGUGUCCUCCUGCCUGGUGUGUGAUCCCCACUCUGGGAGGACCUGCACUUUCUCCAGACCUGUGGAUGGGAGUGAUGCCAUCCUUCUUAACCCUACCCUCACCACCUGCUGAUAGAUCUAUGUAAGGGGGCUCGAGUACCAACAAGAAAACUGCCCCAAUCCUAAUCUCUGGGGAGGCGCCACCUUGGUUACACAGGCAGCUGGCUAUGAACUGAUGGCAGU